rnacentral:rRNA from 1 species
UACGUAGGUGACAAGCGUUGUCCGGACUUACUGGGCGUAAAGAGCGCGCAGGCGGUCGUUCAAGUCGAGUGUGAAAGCCCCCGGCUCAACUGGGGAGGGUCACUCGAUACUGAUCGACUCGAAGGCAGGAGAGGGAAGUGGAAUUCCCGGUGUAGCGGUGAAAUGCGCAGAUAUCGGGAAGAACACCCGUGGCGAAGGCGGUUCUCUGGGACGGUACUGACGCUGAGACGCGAAAGCGUGGGGAGCGAACAGG